CCUACGGGUGGCUGCAGUGGGGAAUAUUGCACAAUGGGGGAAACCCUGAUGCAGCGACGCCGCGUUAGUGAAGAAGUAAUUCGUUAUGUAAAGCUCUAUCAGCAGGGAAGAAAAUGACGGUACCUGAGUAAGAAGCCCCGGCUAACUCCGUGCCAGCAGCCGCGGUAAUACGUAGGGGGCAAGCGUUAUCCGGAUUUACUGGGUGUAAAGGGAGCGUAGACGGCAGUGCAAGUCUGGAGUGAAACGCAUGAGCUCAACUCAUGCAUGGCUUUGGAAACUGGAGGACUGGAGAGCAGGAGAGGGCGGUGGAACUCCAUGUGUAGCGGUAAAAUGCGUAGAUAUAUGGAAGAACACCAGUGGCGAGGCGGCCGCCUGGCCUGUUGCUGACGCUGAGGCACGAAAGCGUGGGGAGCAAAUAGGAUUAGAUACCCGUGUAGUC
rnacentral:rRNA from 1 species